rnacentral:rRNA from 1 species
GACGAACGCUGGGGCGUGCUUAACACAUGCAAGUCGAACGGAAAGGCCCUGCUUUUGUGGGGUGCUCGAGUGGCGAACGGGUGAGUAACACGUGAGUAACCUGCCCUUGACUUUGGGAUAACUUCAGGAAACUGGGGCUAAUACCGGAUAGGAGCUCCUGCUGCAUGGUGGGGGUUGGAAAGUUUCGGCGGUUGGGGAUGGACUCGCGGCUUAUCAGCUUGUUGGUGGGGUAGUGGCUUACCAAGGCUUUGACGGGUAGCCGGCCUGAGAGGGUGACCGGCCACAUUGGGACUGAGAUAGGGCCCAGACUCCUACGGGAGGCAGCAGUGGGGAAUAUUGCACAAUGGGCGGAAGCCUGAUGCAGCAACGCCGCGUGCGGGAUGACGGCCUUCGGGUUGUAAACCGCUUUCGCCUGUGACGAAGCGUGAGUGACGGUAAUGGGUAAAGAAGCACCGGCUAACUACGUG